rnacentral:rRNA from 1 species
CAGCCGCCGCGGUAAUACGAGGGGAGCUAGCGUUGUUCGGAAUUACUGGGCGUAAAGCGCGCGUAGGCGGCUUUUUAAGUCAGAGGUGAAAGCCCGGGGCUCAACCCCGGAAUUGCCUUUGAAACUGGAAAGCUAGAAUCUUGGAGAGGUCAGUGGAAUUCCGAGUGUAGAGGUGAAAUUCGUAGAUAUUCGGAAGAACACCAGUGGCGAAGGCGACUGACUGGACAAGUAUUGACGCUGAGGUGCGAAAGCGUGGGGAGCAAACAGGAUUAGAUACCCCUGUAGUCCCUGUCUCUUAUAA